CACAAUAGAAGUUUAUGAUUAAGAAUAAAAAACACGCACAAGUAAAAAUGAAUCGUGUUAAUCUCUGGCAGUAAAAUAUUUAUCCCAUGAUGCAACACACACGAGUUUAGCGGGAAGUCUGAUAGCCAUGUUUGAAUUCACCGGAUGUUUAUUUCCAGAAGAAAAGUAUAAACAAACACGACGAUAGCCUAAAAACGAAGUUUGUUUCCCGUCUUACUGAAGAAGAUCGACUUACUUCAAGUUACCGACGACUGAAUAUCAGCUUUCUCGUUGUUUUUGACGACCGAUGCAUAUUUUUACCGACAAACAUCGUUACGAGACAGGGGUUUUGAUGAUUAAUUUAUCACAGAUUACACGGCCGAAGGAAACGCAGUACCGAUCCAUGUGUUACAAUCAGACCGAGUCUGCAUGCAGUACAUUCUGGAAUGAGGGACACCGCAUGCAUUGUGGUCCAAAUUGAUGGCAUUGACUUAACACAAAGCAGAAAGGAAUGAAGAGAAAUUAAGAAGUUUAUGUUUCACAUUAAUUAAGAUUAUUCGAGAUAUGUUAUCUGUCGAGGUAUACAACAUUUCCUUUCAUAAUAAAAGUGUAAACAUUAAUAUAUAUACAAAAAAAAUCAUGUAUAUAAUAUAAAA